rnacentral:lncRNA from 1 species
AAGCCGCUCCUCCGGAUGGCGACAGAGACGGCCUGACGCGCCCGCAGCCUGGGCCCCCCACGGGGAGGACGGCCGGGCCAGGUGAAGUUCGCGCACUUGGGCCUUCCGCGCCCCCAUCCACCGCAGCCAGGGCCUGGAAGGCUGGGGAGGGGGCGGGGGCGGCAGACGCCUCCUAAGGUGGGUUCUGGGACUUGGAUCCGGAGUUUAUUCCAAGGAGAGGGUGCUCUGGGCCUGUUCCCUAGGUGUGCCCUGUUACCCAAAAUCGGGCUUGUGCAGUGGGGUCCCUGAGUCCACUGGGAGCACAGCCUCAGACCCCAGCAGAGUCACCCUUCAUCGGAAGCCCACCACCCUGAGGGCUCCUCCUCCACCUGGGGCGGCACUGCCAGGCACAGGCACGCACUUUCCCUCAGUCCUCUGCCCCACGAUCACUCUACUCGGGCACCUCUGCCACUGCCUGGUCCUUGCUGAGCCAUCUCCUGGUUCAUCUCCCUGGAGUCCCUGCAGGACCGGCUCUCAGUGGCGUCUCCGGGCUCCCAGUCCCAGGACUGGUCCUAUCCAGCCCAGGAGAUACGCUCCCCAGUCCAGGAUGUCCAGAUGGCCCUGCUGCCUGGAGAGGCUCUGGCCCCUGCCGGUAGCUGCCACAGCACCACCCCAAGCUCUGCCUUCCUGCAGGGAGGUGAUUCUGCAGAAGUUGGGGCUCCUGACAACUUUGGGGUGGCCAUGAGGGACGUACCUCUUGCCUCUGGAUGUGCAGGGUGGGCCUGGGACCCUGGCAGGGAGGGGCUCCCUCAAUGGGAUUCUGUGGAGUCAGCCAUUGAUGCCCAGGUCUCCACCCUUACAAUUUCAUUCCUUUCAUUGAAGCCUUUUUUCCUGCUAAAAAGGAUGUGGCUUUUAAAAUGUUACAGAUUCCAAUUCAUCCUGUCCAUCCCGAACUCCUGUGCCAGACAUUCCUUCAUUCAACCUCUGUUUAUUGAGCAACUACUUGGGCCAGGCACUGGGACUGGGGAAGCCAACAAGACAUAGAUUUUCUGUCCCCCUGGAAAGUGACAGUCAGUUUGAGAAACAGACAAGGAAACAAACAAUUCCAGUGCAGUGUGGCAAGCGUCACGAUGGGAGGGAGAGGAGAGCACUCUUGGAGCACAAGAGAGGAGCAUUUACCCUAAAAUCACACUCUAGAACACAGCAAGGUGUGUGCCAGGGAAGGCUUCCAGGAGACUGGUUUCCAGGCCCUUUUGGUCCAUCCUUAGGACAAACACACACACACAUGCACACAUAUAUGCACAUACAUGAACACACACACGCACGUGAACACACAGGCACACACAUCCACACACACGCACAUACAUGCACACACAUGCUUUAACACACAUGCACACACGCAUGCACAAACAUGCUUGGAGUGAAACUUUCCGAAGCAAUAUUUA